GCACCGUUAGCUCAGCUGGAUAGAGCACUGCCCUCCGAAGGCAGGGGUCGGGGAUUCGAAUUCCUCACGGUGCACCA
rnacentral:tRNA from 1 species